GAUGAACGCUGGCGGCGUGCCUAAUACAUGCAAGUCGAGCGAAUGGAUUAAGAGCUUGCUCUUAUGAAGUUAGCGGCGGACGGGUGAGUAACACGUGGGUAACCUGCCCAUAAGACUGGGAUAACUCCGGGAAACCGGGGCUAAUACCGGAUAACAUUUUGAACCGCAUGGUUCGAAAUUGAAAGGCGGCUUCGGCUGUCACUUAUGGAUGGACCCGCGUCGCAUUAGCUAGUUGGUGAGGUAACGGCUCACCAAGGCAACGAUGCGUAGCCGACCUGAGAGGGGGAUGGGCCACACUGGGACUGCGACACGGCCCAGGCUCCUACGGGAGGCAGCAGUAGGGAAUCUUCCGCAAUGGACGAAAGUCUGACGGAGCAACGCCGCGUGAGUGAUGAAGGCUUUAGGGUCGUAAAACUCUGUUGUUAGGGAAGAACAAGUGCUAGUUGAAUAAGCUGGCACCUUGACGGUACCUAACCAGAAAGCCACGGCUAACUACGUGCCAGCCGCCGCGGUAA
rnacentral:rRNA from 1 species